UCUACCCAGACAGCUUAGGAAGUGAAAGUUUAAAAACAGCUGAUAUACAAACACUCCGUCCAGUCAUCCUGAGCCCCGAAAUAGCGGGAUAUGGCCAUUGUUAUGCAACAACUUUGACUCAACAAUCACUGAAAAAAAUGCAGGAGGUUGGGGGACAGACCCAGCCAGGACGCCUGGACGGACUGGGAGGUGGCGUAUACGUCCCCCGGGCCACGAGGGGGCAACCGCCCUGGAUGUUGAGGGGACCACGGGAAAAGAGCAAGGAGGCUCAAGCCCAUUGCCACCACCAGGGGGCACCCCGAGCCUCAUGGAACCUGGGAAACAUUCAUUUCCGCCACACCAGGAAAGAUGGAGGAAGAUCCUUCCAGGGACGCCUGGAGUGCUUCUGGGUGCAAGGGCAGCACUUCCUCCACACCAGGAAGUGCUGCCAGAAGAAUGUCAUCAGGCACCUGGAACACAUCCAGGUGGGAAUAAAAGGAGCCGCCUCUCUACAAUCAGGGAGCUAGAGUCGGAAGUGGGAGCAGGGCGAAGCUCCUGUGAAGAGAGGAAAGGCGGACCAUGGACUGAGAGAGAAAGGCCCGUGUUGGGAGUGAUUGGUGCUGGGAGAACUGUGUUUCAAUAUUAAACGUGUGCUUUUUAUAAA